rnacentral:tRNA from 1 species
GGGGGCGUAGUAUAACGGCAAUUACUGUUGGCUCUUACCCUUCAGAUGGGAGUUCGACUCUCCCCGCCCUCA